ensembl:lncRNA
AUGGGAGGGGAGGGACUGAGAGAGAGAGCGAGAGGAGGGCGCGCCUCGUGCUGGCGGCUUUCGCUUCAGAACCGGACGUUUGAGCCUCGCGCCCGUCUUACGUGCUCGACCUCUAAGGGGGAACCUAAGCGCCGAAGGGACUUUGGCGCCUUGGGGCGCGGAGACGCUCUUUCUUUGGCACCUCUAUGGCGAUGCUCUCCGUUCCGGCCUCCCUCUAUGGCCGGAAGUGGGCGGGCUAAAGCGGCGGCGGUUUGUUGUGUGUGGCGGCCAGCGACGGGUCCCCCCUUCGUCGUCCGGCCAGGCCCGGAGGAAGGAAAGAAGGAAGGCGGGCGGGCGGGAAGCGCGAGAGGCGAGGCUGUCCCCAUGACUUCUUCGGUGGAGGAUGUCCAUGAUCCUCUUUGCCUGCGUGGUGCGGGCGAGGGACGGGCUCCCGCUCUCUGCCUCCACCGACUUCCACUUCGACCCGGNNNNNNNNNNNNNGGGAGCGGCGUUCAGAGCAACGGAUUUGGGUGGCCCAGUGGGUGCCGGGAUGGGAGGGGGGUCGCUCCGUAGGAGGCUCCCGCCGCUGUGUUUUCAGUAUCCGCGGUUUCACGUAUCCGCCGGGCGAAAAUACGAAGCAGUUUGAGUAGACCUAGGUGGGAGAAGGCGAUCUGCCCGAUAUCGAGGUCCCAAACCGUUUAGGGCUUUGUACGUCAUCAUUAAAACUUUGAAAUCAAUGCAGAAACGAAUGAGCAACCAAUGCAAAGCAGCCAGCGUGGGGGAGAUAUGCUGAUAUUUCCUCACCCCACUAAGAAGCCUGGCUGCCGCAUUAACUGCUCUAACAGGAAGUUUUUCCCCGCUCUUCAGUCAAAAUCUGGCAUCCUGUCCCUUGAGCCCUUGUUUGCCUGUCCUGCACUCUGGGAUGAUGGAGACCAGAUCCUGCCCCUCCUCUGAAGGGCAGCCUUUCAAGUCUUUGAAAAGCCCUCUCCUAUCUCCCCAUAAGUCUUCUUUUCUCAAGGCUAAACGUGCCCCAGUUCUUUCCCUCUUUCCUCCUCCUAGGGCUUGCAUGGGGAAAGAAAAGAAAAGUAAACAGCCCCUGCCAAAGAAAAUAUCGUAGCACUUUAAAGACACGCCGGUUUAUUUCAAUGUGAGCCUUUGUGGAUCCAAACCCACACAUUUCAAGCACGGGGAAUGCCUACGUAGGCAGGGGAGGGGGCCCUAAAGGUGAUCUAGUCCAGCCUCCCACUUGUGCAGGAAGCCUGUGUUUUGUAAACACGGGUGUUCAGCUGGAUGGCGGCGUAUAUUGAUUUUCUAAAUAACCCUGAAGUCUUGCAGAGCAGCGAAGCCCCGGAGCAAAGCUGUAAACGGUGGAGAGAGGUAGUGUUUAAAAUGCCACACCAUGGUGGGAUUCCAUAAGUGAUUCUGGGUAGAGUGUGUGCAAAUACCCAGUUUGAGAAGCAAGCCUCUAGAAGAUUUGCUGGUGCAUAGCCACUGAUGCUUUUUUUAUUUUAUUUUUAUUUUAUAUUUGCAUGGAGGGUAUUUGGCAAACGUUCUGGUACCUGUCAACCUUCUUCUUCACACCCACUUAGAAAAGGAGGUGGCUUGUCUACAGAGAGAAAUACGAUCUUUCAGGAUGCCGGAGCGCUUCUUGGUCUAUCCAAGGUUGAAUUUUAUAUUUGCAUGGAGGGUAUUUGGCAAACGUUCUGGUACCUGUCAACCUUCUUCUUCACACCCACUUAGAAAAGGAGGUGGCUUGUCUACAGAGAGAAAUACGAUCUUUCAGGAUGCCGGAGCGCUUCUUGGUCUAUCCAAGGUUGGCGGUUUGCUGACAAGGCAGGCUUUAUCUUGGUUGCUAGAGGGCAGUUGACAGAGGUUACCGAGAAGAGUUCCCCGCUGGAACGAUACUUUGGAACGUGGCAAGAGACGAACGCACAGCACUUUGUAAUCUUGUGCAUGUAGAGUUUGCAUCAUGAAGACCUGCUUCGUAGGCAGUAGAGUGAGGCUGUCGUAAGGAAUAGUGACAUGCUCGCCUGUCCUCUUUCCUGACAAUCAGUGGUUCCAAUAUCGUCAUUUUCUUUCCCCAAGAGUUGAGAUGCCUCAAGGUUCUCGAUCUUAAUUUUCGUCAAAUUUAUUUAUUAGAUUUUUAUCCCGCCCUUCUAGACUGUGUCUACUCAAAAGAGCCCAAGUCUCCCCAUGAUAGAAACUAAGCCCCUCCGUAUUUUCUUAGAAGGGCAUUUCUCUGUUUCCAUGGUUUAGGAAUCUGGGCGAGGCGCCAGAGGUUGGGAGUUCGAUUCCCCGUUUGUGCCUCCUGGCAGAAGAGCCAGCCUGGAUAGCCUUUAGGAAAGGUCAAAAUCAAUGGCAGGUUGGGUUGAUGGGAAGUGACCCAGGACGCUCGCCAGGGUCCAUGCAGGACUGACAGAGAAGAGUGAUUUCUUCGUAAACGCAUCCUGCUCGGAUGACGUCUGCAUCUUAACCGCAGUACCAUGUGCUCCUGGUUGAGACCGCUGGUUUGCUUGUUUUUAACAUGUCUAUACUUACUGAUUGUAGAUUUUGAAUGCUGUAUUUCAAUGAUGUAAGCCACCCUGAGUCCUUUUUUAAGAGAAAGGCAGGGUAAAAAUAUUUUACAUUAAAAAUUAAUAAAAUUGUGUUUAUGCAGGUCUUCUAAUCCCGA